UACGUAGGGUGCGAGCGUUAAUCGGAAUUACUGGGCGUAAAGCGUGCGCAGGCGGUUCGCUAAGACCGAUGUGAAAUCCCCGGGCUUAACCUGGGAACUGCAUUGGUGACUGGCGGGCUAGAGUAUGGCAGAGGGGGGUAGAAUUCCACGUGUAGCAGUGGAAUGCGUAGAGAUGUGGAGGAAUACCGAUGGCGAAGGCAGCCCCCUGGGCCAAUACUGACGCUCAUGCACGAAAGCGUGGGGAGCAAACAGG
rnacentral:rRNA from 1 species